rnacentral:misc_RNA from 1 species
CGCACAUUGCGCCCCUUGGUAUUCCGAGGGGCAUGCCUGUUCGAGCGUCAUUUCGACCCUCAAGCUUCUGCUUGGUGUUGGGCCCUCGUCCGCUAAACCGGACGUGCCUGAAACUCAUGGGCGGUUGUGCUCAGCUCCUCGGCGUAGUCAAAUCUUACCGUCCUGGACUGUGUGCUGCCCGCCUGGGAACCACAUAUUCUCACCAAGUUUGACCUCGGAUCAGGUAGGGAUACCCGCUGAACUUAA